GGGGUUUGCUGCGGGAAAACACGCCACGCAAGCCCUACGACCUGCUUUUGGCUUCAGUUUCCUCACCUGUAACUAAUGAAUUCAAAUCAUUCAUUAAACUAGAUGGUCUCCAAGAUUCCUUCCAAGUCUUAACAGUUGGCGAUUCUAUAACUCCCCCAACAUGUUCGGGGCAGAGAGUUGGUGGUCUUCUUGCUGUCCUUUUGUGAUUUCCGGAGGACCAGAGUUCUCCAGAGGGCCAGCCCCAAAGUUCCAGCUUUUUGCUUAUCGAGGCUGGUACAGAUGA
rnacentral:lncRNA from 1 species